UCUCCGUAGGUGAACCUGCGGAGGGAUCAUUACUGAGUGAGGGCCCCCGGGCCCGACCUCCAACCCUUUGUGAACCAUACCUCGUUGCUUCGGGGGCGACCCUGCCGUCCGCGGCGCCGGCGCCCCCGGAGACCAUCAAACACUGCGUCAAUUUGCGUCGGAGUCUUGAUUAAAAUCAAAACAAAACUUUCAACAACGGAUCUCUUGGUUCUGGCAUCGAUGAAGAACGCAGC
rnacentral:misc_RNA from 1 species